ACGUAGGAGACAAACGUUAUCCGGAUUUACUGGGCGUAAAGGGCGUGUAGGCGGUCUGUUAAGUCUGGCGUGAAAGCUCUCGGCUAAACCGGGAGAGGUCGUUGGAUACUGGCAGACUAGAGGACGGUAGAGGCGUGUGGAAUUCCGGGUGUAGUGGUGAAAUGCGUAGAGAUCCGGAGGAACACCAGUGGCGAAGGCGACACGCUGGGCCGUACCUGACGCUAAAGCGCGACAGCAUGGGGAGCAAACGGG
rnacentral:rRNA from 1 species